UACGUAGGGUGCGAGCGUUGUCCGGAAUUAUUGGGCGUAAAGGGCUCGUAGGCGGUUUGUCGCGUCGGGAGUGAAAACCUCGGGCUUAACUCGGGGCUUGCUUUCGAUACGGGCAGACUAGAGGUAUGCAGGGGAGAACGGAAUUCCUGGUGUAGCGGUGAAAUGCGCAGAUAUCAGGAGGAACACCGGUGGCGAAGGCGGUUCUCUGGGACGGUACUGACGCUGAGGAACGAAAGCUAGGGGAGCAAACGGG
rnacentral:rRNA from 1 species